AGUGAACGCUGGCGGUAGGCCUAACACAUGCAAGUCGAACGGCAGCACAGUAAGAGCUUGCUCUUACGGGUGGCGAGUGGCGGACGGGUGGGGAAUACAUCGGAAUCUACUUUUUCUUGGGGGAUAACGUAGGUAAACUUACGCUAAUACCGCAUACGACCUACGGUUGAAAGCAGGGGUUCUUCGUACCUUUCGCGUUUGAUUGAGCCGAUGUCGGAUUAGCUAGUUGGCGGGGUAAAGGCCCACCAAGGCGACGAUCCGUAGCUGGUCUGAGAGGAUGAUCAGACACACUGGAACGGAGAAACGGUCCAGACUACUACGGGAGGCAGCAGUGGGGAAUAUUGGACAAUGGGCGCAAGCAUGAUACAGCAAUACCGCGUGGGUGAAGAAGGCCUUCGGGUUGUAAAGCCCUUUUGUUGGGAAAGAAAAGAAGCAGGUUAAUACCCCGCUGUUCUGACGGUACCCAAAGAAUAAGCACCGGCUAACUUCGUG
rnacentral:rRNA from 1 species